GAGCUGCCAGUCAGCCCUGUGCCUAACCAAACAAAUCACGGCUUAAGGUAGAGUGGGUGUGGGGAGGUGCUAGGAGUGGAGGGGAGGAUAAGGGAAAAAGAAAGAAAGAAGGCAAUACAUGAGAAGAGCAAGGCCUGUGAGGGCAAAAUCCUUGUAAAUCUCUAGAUGCUUCAUGAACUAACCAAAUGGCUGCUAACGAGACUGACUAUCUUCAGUGCAUUCUGUGUCAGUCUGUGGAGGAAGGAGGGGAGAGAGAUAUCUAGAGCCAGUACAGAUGGGAGGCAUGGCUGUGUGAUAAGAAGUGAAAGAUGCUGACCAGGACCAGGCCACACAUGAAGGGCUGGUUGCCCUUCCUGACCCUCCCUAACUGUGAAGAAAGACAGACCUCAACAGGGCUGUGGUUGGAAGGGAACACACUCUUUUCCGCUCACAUCUGUGUGUGAGUGCUGUGAAACUGUGCGGUACCGCCUUCCAUAAGAAAUUUCCUGUUGGCAAGGAAGAGAAGUGGGAUUUGUUUGGUCCUGUAUGGAGCUGCUUGGAGUGGUGUUCCCACUGCUGAGUUAGAUAGUUGGGUGGAAAGUCUUCCAGCUGCUGGACACCUGCUGCUGGAGCAGCUCCACCUUCCCUGCUCAAGAAAGCAGCCUGUCUUAGAGGUACAACCCAUUGGUGGUGACAAGCUCUCAUGGGCCGAAAGCAUUUCCAAAACCUAAGUGUAUUCUGCUGUGCUGAGGUGUUGCUGCUUCAUGUGAUUCAUUUCUGAGCUCUUAUUGACAACUACCCUAAAUUAAACCAAAUAAGUUGCUGGUGAAA